rnacentral:rRNA from 1 species
CAGUCGCCGCGGUAAUACGGAGGGUGCAAGCGUUAAUCGGAAUUACUGGGCGUAAAGCGCACGCAGGCGGUCUGACAAGUCAGAUGUGAAAUCCCCGGGCUUAACCUGGGAACUGCAUUUGUGACUGUAUAGCUAGAGUACGGCAGAGGGGGAUGGAAUUCCGCGUGUAGCAGUGAAAUGCGUAGAUAUGCGGAGGAACACCGAUGGCGAAGGCAAUCCCCUGGGCCUGUACUGACGCUCAUGCACGAAAGCGUGGGGAGCAAACAGGAUUAGAGACCCCCGUAGUCCCUGUCUCUUAUAC